rnacentral:lncRNA from 1 species
AUCCUACCUGAAAAAUUUGGAGAAAAUCAAGAGAAAUCAAGAAAUCAAGCAUUAAAAAGGUAAAUUUCAUUGAUUUUCCUUGUGAUUUUCACUACCCAUGCAUUUUUUUCUCAUUUCCAUGCAAAAUUAGAAAGUGGGUAUGGACACCCAUGCUGGCCAAACCUCCAUGGAUGAGUUUUGAGCUUGAUUUUUGGUUGAUUUUAAUUGAAUUAAGUGAUUUUAGUUAAGUUAUAUUGAAAUAUAGCAAAAAUAAGCUAGAAAUAUAAUUUUCUCCCAUUGAAACCCAUUAUGCUGAAUUUUCUAGGGGAAUAUUGGCUGCUGAUCUUGAUGGUUAUUUGAGGAAUUAUGAUGAAUAAUGAUGAAUUAUGAGCCUAGAAAAAUAAUGGAAAUUUUCGGAGCAAAAAUACAAAUUUUUACCCACUAGGGGUAUUUUCGUAAUUUGUUAUCGGGACUGAUAAUUUGCACCACACUGAGGGACAUUAAGUCAAUUUGGGUGCAAUUGAGGUAUAGAAACUGAAAAAAAUUAAUUUGGAGUUUAAACGGACGCGUAUAUCAAUUUAUCGGGUAAAAGACCGAAAUAGGCUAACACCGCAUUUAGGCAAAAAUUUAGACAUUUUUGCAUUCCAUAUCAAGCAUUAGUAGUCUAAAUUAGUUUAAUUUCAAUUUAGUACCAAUGUGGUGAAUUUCUCGAUUUUGUACUGUGUCAAGGUGGUGAGUCCUCUGAUAAAGGCAAGGGAAUUGCACCCGAGGACCAAUAGUCUGAGUAUUUCGAAAAUCCUCACUCUAGACACGGUGAGUAACCUUACCAUCAUUUUAAUUAUCUAAAGUAUGUUUUUAUUCGGUUUUGGUGAAUUUUAUGAAAAUGAGUUCAAAUGGUAAAUUUUUAUGUUUUGUAAACAAAAUGAGUUUAAAUGAAAAUAUUUUAUAAAUUGUCUUGAAACGAAAUAACGAUUUUGAAAAUAGAGUAAUUGGAGACCACUGAUAUGUUGUAAAUUUAAAAUUGAAUUAAUGGCUUAUGUUAUUGUAUUGGCAUGACUGGCUGGGCUGUGUUUUUUAUGAAUUGUAUGAAUUGCUUUAUUUUACCCUUGCAGGCUGGGUAGUAAUAUAUUAGCCCUGUCAUGCUGUCAAAAUUUUAUUGUAUGGUGGGUUUGACCUGCUGCAGUGGGCUGGAUUCUGUGGACUAGCCUAUUAGAGGGGCACGGAAUCCUGUUAUAUUUUUACCUCGGUUGGAGAGGCGAGUAGGGUAACUCCUGAGGUAUAACUUUUAGAGUUCACUUCACGCCAAACCACCUCGUGAAGGGGAACUCGGCCAACGUCAAGGAAUGGCUAUGUUUUCAAAAUAAAAACAUGACUUUCUAAUAGCCUUGGCGGACUCAGUUGGGAUAGCCCUCGGCCAAGGUAUCCCAAAUAACUGAGUAUGAUAAUAAUUUUUGGCAUGAGCCAAGCUUUUUAAGAAAUUCAUAAGCCAUACUGAUUACUUGCUUUAAAUAAAUUGAUUUCAUUUGGUUGAAAUAAGUUGAAAGAUGAUAAAUUACAGUUUGAUGAAAUGUUUUAAUAGUCUCCUUUUACUCGACUUUAGAUAUUUUGAGUGAUGUUUGUUUACUCACUGGGAUUUUAUAAUCUCACCACCCUCAUUUCCACCCAUUUCAGGUUCAGAAUAGAUUGUAGAUAACUGAUAUCGGCAAGGAUUACAGUUGAACUUGCCACAUCCAAAGACUGUAGGUUCAUUUCUUUUGAUACUUUUGGUCAUUCGUGGGCCCACGUGUCACUGUAAAUUAAAUUCUAUACUUUGGUUAUCUGUAUUACGGUAUGUAAGAAUUUAUUUUGCUUUUACGCUAUAAAAAUUAUUUAUGCAGUGU